CCUACGGGUGGCUGCAGUGGGGAAUAUUGCACAAUGGAGGAAACUCUGAUGCAGCAACGCCGCGUGGAGGAUGACGCAUUUCGGUGUGUAAACUCCUUUUAUAGGGGAAGAUAAUGACGGUACCCUAUGAAUAAGCACCGGCUAACUCCGUGCCAGCAGCCGCGGUAAUACGGAGGGUGCAAGCGUUACUCGGAAUCACUGGGCGUAAAGGAUGCGUAGGCUGGAAAUCAAGUCGAAAGUGAAAUCCAACGGCUUAACCGUUGAACUGCUUUCGAAACUGGUUACCUAGAAUAUGGGAGAGGUAGAUGGAAUUAGUGGUGUAGGGGUAAAAUCCGUAGAUAUCACUAGGAAUACCGAUUGCGAAGGCGAUCUACUGGAACAUUAUUGACGCUGAGGCAUGAAAGCGUGGGGAGCAAACAGGAUUAGAUACCCCUGUAGUC
rnacentral:rRNA from 1 species